rnacentral:rRNA from 1 species
CCUACGGGUGGCAGCAGUAGGGAAUUUUCGUCAAUGGGCGCAAGCCUGAACGAGCAAUGCCGCGUGAACGAGGAAGGUCCUCGGAUCGGUAAGUUCUGUUGAAGGGGAAAAAGAGCGGAGAGAGGAAAUGCUUUCUGAUUGAUAUUACCCUUCGAGGAAGUCACGGCUAACUACGUCCCAGCAGCCGCGGUAAUACGUAGGUGGAGAGGUUUACCCGGAUUGAUUGGGAGAAAGGGGUGCGUGGGCGGCCUGCUAAGUCUGGAGUGAAGGGUACCGGGUCAACCGGUACAGGCUCUGGAAACUGGCGGGCUAGAGAGCAGGAGAGGGCGGUGGAACGCCAUGUGUAGCGGUAAAAUGCGUAGAGA